GUGCUCACUUCAGUAGCACAUAUACUAAAAUUGGAAUAAUACAGAGAUAACGUGGCCCCUCAGCAAGGAUGAUAUGUAAAUUCAUGAAGUUUUCCAUAAAUAA
ensembl:snRNA U6 U6 spliceosomal RNA